rnacentral:lncRNA from 1 species
GUGUGGUCCGGGUGAGCGAUUGUCCUGUGGCGUCCGGGACCGAGUUUGUGGCCCAGGGUUAUGUGUGCACUUCACACCUCUAACUUUUUUCAGGGUUCCUAUUGAUGGUUAGGAGCAGGAUUUCGGGGAUGAAGGCGGCAGCAGCAAGAGGAGGCUGCGACUGCGGACCCCAGAUUCGUCCCCCUCCACCACACACAACGCCAAGACGGGCCCCAGGAGGGCGUGAAGAGAAGACUUCCUUUCCUCUCCUCUCGCCUCCUGGCGCUGGCCGUAUGAAGCUGUCUCCCAGAAGCAUUAGCAGAGGAGCCCUGUGGGAGAAAUGAGGAGUGACCCAAAAGAAACUUGCUCAAGGACAGCCUCCUUAAAGCAGAAUUCCAUAUACCCCAACCUGCAAAAGAAGACUUUACGUGAAAUGUUACAGCCCAUAACAGCUGCAGCCUUGACUAUUAAAUCUCAAAGGGAAUAAAAAAGUCACCUGACAGUUAAAGCAGAGGACUAUACUUGGGGCCAAGAAUAUGGGCUACUUCAUAUGGAAGAACUCCAGCAACCGGGAGGUAGCUCAUCAGAACGUUAGGCAUUUCUGCUACCAGGAGACACCUGGACCCUGUAAGGCUGUGAGCUGAUUCUGGGAACUUUGCCAUCAGUGGCUGAGGCCAGAGACCCACACCAAAGAACAGAUCCUGGAAUUGCUGGUGCUGGAGCAGUUCUUGACUAUCCUGCCAGAGGAGCUCCAAGCCCAGAUGUUAGAGCAUCAGCCAGAGAACAGAGAGGAAAUGGUGAUCAUAUCGGAGGAUUUGGAAAGAGAGCUUGAUGAAACAGAAUGUCGGGUGUGAUUAAAAGGCACAUGAACACCCUAGCCAGAGAAAGAAGCAGCCAUACACCCAGGGAAGCAAGGUUGCAGAGCUCAAUCUCCACUCCCUCUCGCUUGAUAUGUAAGUCUCUAUGUUUCGUACUGUCAUCCUUUCUGGUUAGCUCCUUACUUCUUAAGGGUGGAAGAAGACUAUGUCAGCAUUCUUUCUCUGUUCUAUGCCCUGAGAUGUGUUCUCUAAGAUGUCUUUUAAAGAUAGUAACUGUGUUUCCCUCAUUGAGUCUUUCACAAGCCCAGCCAUAUCUAAUUGUUUCCAAGUUGCAGCCAGUGCAUGUGGUAUGGGACUGCACUCAGAAUAUCAUCAUCAAGCAGCACAGGAGCCACCAACUAUUCCUUUCCAGCCAAUGAAAAGACAGCUUAAAUGGGAAUAUCCAGAAUUCCAGGCCAUUCAUGAGCAAGGUGAGCAUCGCAGUCCAUCUCGAGAGAAAGGGAGUGGUUGAAAGCUCUGCCAGCUACCCAGGCUGAACAGCAUCAGGAGCAUCUCAGACAUAAACCACCAUGCUGAAUCAGAUGGAAGGUCCAUCUCCUGAAGUACUACAUUCCAGCUUACGUGGCACCAACAAGACCUGAUGCAGAAUGGCGUAAUGCUGUCCUCCCUCACAUCAGCCUCAGCAGGAAGUUGUACACCAGCUUCCGUAAUUUCCUUUAAAAAGCUAUUCUAGGCCACUGUCAUUAAAAAAAACCUUUACUUUUUUGUAAUAUUUUCAUAAUAUAUAACUUCAUAGCCCAACCUCUACUACACACUUAGUGCUUUCUCUGUAAAGUAGAAUUUACUUUUUUGUCUUAAAAUUACCUUUUCUGAAUCCCCUGGAUCACCUAAAUCCAUUUUGUACCCUCUUUUCUGUUCCCUUCUAAUAGAAGCUACAUCAUUGACCUGAUCUUCUAGACUCAUCUAAACAUUUUUAUUCUUUAGUCCCUGUUGUCUUUAAUUCAAACAUUACACAUAAUUCUAAAAUAUCCCUUAGGUCAGUCAUCUUCAGUAUUACUUCCUCAUUGGACCCAUUACUUCCAGCUUCAGUAUGCUUGAAUUUGUCCUGACUCUCAAUAGAAACAAAUUAUUUUUCUCUUACCUGUCACUUUCCACAUGCUAUCUUCAGACCUUCCACUCACUUUCAUCCUCCUCUACUUUUGAUACUCAUUUUUACUCCCAUUGCUCAACACAACUCUCUUCUUGAUUGUUCCUUUAUUCUAUCUCUUCCUUUGCUCAGUGGUAUGGACUGAAUGUUUGUGGUCCCACCAACAACCCCUAAACAAUUUAUACAUUGAAGCCCUAACCUCCAAUGAGUUGGUAUUAUAGAUGGGGCCUUUGAGAGGUAAUUAGUUCUUGAGGGCAGGGCCCUGUAUGAUAGGAUUAAUGCCCUUUUAAAAGCAGUCGCCAGAGAGCUUGAUAUUUCUCCUAUGCACACGUGAAGGUAAGGUCUUGUGAGCACAACAGCAAAAAGGUGAUCAUCUGAAAGCCAGAAGGAGAGCCCUCACCAGAAACCAACCAUGUUAGUACCCUGAUCUCAACCUCCAGAACUGUGAGAAAAUAAAUUUCUCUUAUUUAAACCACCAGUAUAGUAUUUUGUUAUGGCAGCCCAACUUAACACCACUUCAUGUCCCAAUUCUGUGGCAAUAAUGUGCAUGAGAGGUCUCCUUCCAUUUACCAGCUAUCUUAUUCCUUGCUUACAAGGAAUAUAUUCUUACAGAUAUCACAAACAGGGAAGACAGUUAUCUGCAUGGGGCAUAGCUUGCUUGCUUAAAGAAAAGGACAGAAGUUUAAUACUAGUGAAGAACCAUUUACAUUUUCUAAGGGCCAUUUUUUCACAGAAAACCAUUGUGGGCUCCCAAAAGUACAAGUAACCCAAUUUAGUAUUUUAUUCAAAGUGAAACAUACACUUAGGAAUAGAAUUCAUGAAAAAUUUUACAAAUAUAAGAUGCAUACUCCAUUCACAGUGGCUAUAUCCUAGAAAAUCCCUAAGUAUUACUCUGUACUAUAUUUUUUUUCCUUAAUUUGGGGAAACUUUAGUUACUGAGAUUAUACCCUUGAGAUACGGAGAUCUUUAUGAUUCAAGACGCAGACUUAACUAGCCUAGUUUUCCUUUUCUUUACUCUGGCUCCACAUCUUCCAAAUGAGUCUAGUUGGAAACUCUCACCCCUUAGUUUCCUCCCAGUCAGCACCAGUUUGGGGGAGUUAAGGAAUUAUUUUUCAUUUCCAGCUCUGGCUCUAAAUAAUGUGUCUCCAGCAGUGAAAUGUAGGCCAAGAAAGGAACCCACUUCUCAGAAGCAUUGGAAAAG